rnacentral:rRNA from 1 species
GACGAACGCUGGCGGCGUGCUUAACACAUGCAAGUCGAGCGGUAAGGUCCUUUCGGGGGUACACGAGCGGCGAACGGGUGAGUAACACGUGGGUGACCUGCCCUUAGCUCUGGGAUAAGCCUGGGAAACUGGGUCUAAUACCGGAUAUGACUCCAUAACGCAUGUUGUGGGGUGGAAAGCCUUGUGCGGCUAGGGAUGGGCCCGCGGCCUAUCAGCUUGUUGGUGGGGUGAUGGCCUACCAAGGCGACGACGGGUAGCCGGCCUGAGAGGGCGACCGGCCACACUGGGACUGAGACACGGCCCAGACUCCUACGGGAGGCAGCAGUGGGGAAUCUUGCGCAAUGGGCGAAAGCCUGACGCAGCGACGCCGCGUGGGGA